UACGGAGGAUCCGAGCGUUAUCCCGAUUUAUUGGGUUUAAAGGGUGCGUAGGCGGUUUGAUAAGUUAGAGGUGAAAUGUCGGGGCUCAACCCCGAAACUGCCUCUAAUACUGUUGGACUAGAGAAUAGUUGCGGUAGGCGGAAUGUAUGGUGUAGCGGUGAAAUGCUUAGAGAUCAUACAGAACACCGAUUGCGAAGGCAGCUUACCAAACUAUAUCUGACGUUGAGGCACGAAAGCGUGGGUAGCAAACAGG
rnacentral:rRNA from 1 species